UGGGGGCUCGUUGGGGCUGGACGACGCGGAGGCUUGGUGGCUCCUUGGGGCUGGACGACUCAGAGGCUCGAUAGGAAAAUUGAACAAGUUGCAAACUUGCAAUGGACAAACUUAUUGAAUGAUAAUUACUUUAACUCGUGGCUUUUGUCAUUAUAGUCCUUUCGUUAUAUCAAUGUAUAUGUUUUGUGUAUAUAAAACGUAUGCAUAUCAUUAUUGCUUUAUUAUCAUGACUUAUAUGCAGCCCCUGCGCAAGCUUUUAUC